rnacentral:rRNA from 1 species
UAGUGGAACGGUCUGGAAAGUCCGACGGUACAGGGUGAUAGUCCCGUACACCAAAAUGCACAGGUUGUGAACUCGAAGAGUAGGGCGGGACACGUGGUAUCCUGUCUGAAUAUGGGGGGACCAUCCUCCAAGGCUAAAUACUCCUGACUGACCGAUAGUGAACCAGUACCGUGAGGGAAAGGCGAAAAGAACCCCGGCGAGGGGAGUGAAAAAGAACCUGAAACCGUGUACGUACAAGCAGUGGGAGCACCUUCGGGUGUGACUGCGUACCUUUUGUAUAAUGGGUCAGCGACUUAUAUUCUGUAGCAAGGUUAACCGUAUAGGGG